CCUACGGGAGGCAGCAGUGGGGAAUAUUGCACAAUGGGGGAAACCCUGAUGCAGCGACGCCGCGUGAGCGAUGAAGUAUUUCGGUAUGUAAAGCUCUAUCAGCAGGGACGAAAAUGACGGUACCUGACUAAGAAGCCCCGGCUAACUACGUGCCAGCCGCCGCGGUAAUCCGUAGGGGGCAAGCGUUAUCCGGAUUUACUGGUUGUAAGGGGAGCGUAGACGGCUUGGCAAGCCAGAUGUGAAAGGCUAGGGCUCAACCCCAGGACUGCCUUUGGAACUGUCAUGCUAGAGUGUCGGAGAGGCAGGCGGAAUUCCUAGUGUAGCGGUGAAAUGCGUAGAGAUUAGGAGGAACACCAGUGGCGAAGGCGGCCUGCUGGACGAUGACUGACGUUGAGGCUCGAAAGCGUGGGGAGCAAACAGGAUUAGAUACCCUUGUAGUC
rnacentral:rRNA from 1 species